CAGAUAUUCUGCUACUGUGUACUCUCUGUUUAGGGAAAAAUACCAUUCUAGUCAGCUCAGUUUUUAUGUAAAUUAUUUCCAAUGUGUCAAGUAAUUAUCUUUUUGUUUUCUCAUGAUUUGCUUGGGUCUGUGUUGCUGUUGCUGUCCUGGAGAGAUGAACCUGGAGAAGAGUCCCCUAAGCAAGCUGGUCCUGGGGCUCUGUUCACAAACACACCCUACAGAGCCAUCACCUACAGAGAGAUGAACCUGGAGAAGAGUUCCCUAAGCAAGCUGGUCCUGGGGCUCUGUUCACAAACACAAACAGACUCCACAGAGCCCCAGGACAGCAACAGUGUCCUUUCUUCCAAAGGCAGAAGAUGAAGACAGACAUCCUAUACACAGAAGAGGGUUCCUCCACAAUGGAACCCUGGUCCCUAUGUAGUGCACACUAUAUGAAAUAUGGUGUCACUAAAGCACUGGGGUUGCAAAGGGAGGGUAUAUUACUGGAAAAUUUACCAGUAAACUACCAGCAUUUUUGGUAACUUUCAAGGAUUUUAUGUAAUCUAUUACAAGACAUCUAGUGGCCCGUUUGGAUACUUCAGAUUAUCACAGGUGUCUGUAAUUGUGAAAUAUGACAUAAUUAAAUAAUAUUUUAAAAUAAAAAUAUAUAUAAUUACAAAGCUGUACAAUAUUAUCUUGAAUAUAAAGCAUCAACUUAGUGAAUAUCAUUGGUGUUUAAUAUGAGAGUUUCAGUAUGAAAUAUAUAUUUGUAUUUUUUACACUUAUUUAUUUUAUUUUGUCAGCAUGUAUUGUUGUCAAUGUUGUUAAGUUUAUUAAAAGCAAUUAUAUUGUCGAUGAAUUAGACCGUUUUCUCCUCAACCACAUGUUCUAUCUCCUAGAAAGUUAUGAACAAUAUCCACACAGAUAUAAAUAUUAUAUAUUAAUAAACCGUUUUAAUAUAAAGUUAAGAUUGCCGUAUAUUUUUUGGUUUAAUUAGUGAAGAUUACGCUCACUUUGUUAUUAAAUCACCAGUAACUUUGCCUCGUAGGGGACAUUCAGAGUCGGUCUGCUUGUUUAGUAAACGGACUGUCACAACGUCAUUGAUACCCAACUCACCUUCAAAGCAAAGCCUUUUUGGACUUAUGUACAUAUCUGUACAUACCAGUGCAAUGAUUAUUUUACUAAAUGAUUAUUAUUUUUUUUUGUGUCAGAAUUUUGCACUUAAAUACUAUAUUUUUUAUAAAAAGGCGAAUAUUGAGCAAUAUUAUUUUAUUAUUAUUAUUUGAACUUCUGAAUUUGUAUAUUGCUAACUAUUUUCCUUUUUUCAUUUGUAGUUUUUGUUGGUUGUAAAGGGAAUAUAGUUAUUUUUAGACUUUUAUAACAAAUGAUCAACUGCUUAUAGACACGUUUAUAGAGAGAGAGAAACAUACGUGGACUUCACUAAAUAAAUAAAGGAAUAUAUUCACAA
ensembl:lncRNA